GGAAGCAUGGGUGAGUGGUCGAAACCAGCCCUCUGCUAAGGGGUCGAACUCCACAAGGGUUCCGAAGGUUCGAAUCCUUCUGCUUCCG
rnacentral:tRNA from 1 species